UAUUUUCAAAAAAAAAUUAACAACCGGUAUUAACGCCAAAAAUCACCGCAACAACCUCUAAACGGAAGCUCUUGGUGUGCUCUACAAGUCUUGUGAACAUCGCGAUUCGUUCCUUUUACAUUUUAACCAUGUUAAAGUGAUUCUCAAGCUUUUAGCUCCUAGGUGGAUUCGGUCAAGCAGUUUUAUAGUGCUAUCAUGGUGAAGCAUUCCUGCGAUAAUCAAACCCAAUCAUCAUCGUUUGAAGUUGUUCCUGUUGACUCUUUCAAUAUUUCAAGGCACAGUUUGCCUUGGAGAAGAUCCGCCAUCGACGAAAUUCGUGUUCUGUUUCUCCGGACAGAAAUCGAGAUUUGCAACGCUUGAAACUGUUCCUGUUGGCUGUUUAAAUAAUUUGAGGCACGAUUUGCCUUGGAUAAGGUGAGUACCUUUCCAAGUUGCUAAACUUCCAGUGGUCCGGUCUACCGGUCUAUUUUUUGGACAGAUUUACCAUCUACGAAAGCCGUUUUUUGUGACUAUCAUGGCGGAACUGGAUAUUCUCGUCGCCAGAAGGACCACGCUGCUUACUUCGCUGGGUCGGGCAGAGGCAUUCAUCGAGAACUACGACGCUGCAAGAGACCAAGGGCAAGAGCCGCUUCGAAUGAGUCAUGUGGAAAACAUCUGGGCCAGUAUAGAAGCGGUACAAGAAGAAUUAAACGACUUAGCUACGACAGAGGAAGGUAGGGCAG